AUUGAACGCUGGCGGCAUGCCUUACACAUGCAAGUCGAACGGGAACAGGUCUUCGGAUGCUGACGAGUGGCGAACGGGUGAGUAAUACAUCGGAACGUGCCCAGACGUGGGGGAUAACGAGGCGAAAGCUUUGCUAAUACCGCAUACGAUCUAAGGACGAAAGCAGGGGACCGCAAGGCCCUGCGCGUUUGCAGCGGCCUAUGGCAGAUUAGGUAGUUGGUGGGAUAAAAGCUUACCAAGCCGACGAUCUGUAACUGGUCUGAGAGGACGACCAGCCACACUGGGACUGAGACACGGCCCAGAAUCCUACGGGAGGCAGCCGUGGGGAAUUUUGGACAAUGGGCGAAAGCCUGAUCCAGGAAUGCCGCGUGCAGGAUGAAGGCCUUCGGGUUGUAAAAUGCUUUUGUACGGAACGAAAAGGCUCUGGCUAAUACCUGGGGGACAUGACGGUACCGUAAGAAUAAGCACCGGCUAACUACGUG
rnacentral:rRNA from 1 species